GGAGGCGUGUCAGAGUGGUCGAAUGAGCCGCACUCGAAAUGCGGUAAGCCCCAAAAGGGCUUCGGAGGUUCGAAUCCUCCCGCCUCCGCCA
rnacentral:tRNA from 1 species